UACGGGGGGGGCAAGCGUUGUUCGGAAUUACUGGGCGUAAAGGGUUCGUAGGUGGCCAACUAAGCCAGACGUGAAAUCCCUCAGCUUAACUGGGGAACUGCGUCUGGGACUGGAUGGCUUGAGUGCAGGAGAGGAACGCGGAAUUCCAGGUGUAGCGGUGAAAUGCGUAGAUAUCUGGAGGAACACCGGUGGCGAAGGCGGCGUUCUGGACUGCAACUGACACUGAGGAACGAAAGCCAGGGGAGCAAACAGG
rnacentral:rRNA from 1 species